GUGGUGUCCAAGGGAACAGAGCUCAGGAGAACUCGGGAGCUGCACAACCCUGCACUGGGAAGCCUUCCCCGAUUGCACCCCCAGGAGUCACUAUUGUGGUCAUCAACUCUGUUCACCAAUAUCUGAAAGUCUGCACUUCUGGCUCACUGGUGAAAUUGUGGGUCUACACUGCCAGGACUACCCAAGGUGUGAGUG
rnacentral:lncRNA from 1 species